rnacentral:rRNA from 1 species
AGAGACCUCAAGCGUUAUCCGGAAUCAUUGGGCGUAAAGCGUACCGAUAGGUGGUUUACCAAGUCAGAUGUGAAAUCUCCGAGCUUAACUCGGAAUCUGUCAUUUGAAACUGGUAGACUAGAGGGGCAAAGAGGAAACUGGAACGAACGGUGUAGUAGUGAAAUGCGUUGAUAUCGUUCGGAACACCAAUAGCGAAGGCUGGUUUCUGGGUGCCACCUGACACUGCUAGGACGAAAGCGUGGGUAGCGAAUGGGAUUAGAUACCCCAGUAGUCCACGCUGUAAACGAUGCACAUUCGGUGCUAGGGAGUAUCGACCCUCUUUAGUACCAAAGCUAACGCGUUAAAUGUGCCGCCUGGGGAGUACGGCCGCAAGG